UACGUAGGGUGCAAGCGUUGUCCGGAAUUAUUGGGCGUAAAGGGCUCGUAGGCGGUCCAUCGCGUCGGGAGUGAAAUCCACUGGCUUAACUGGUGGCUUGCUUUCGAUACGGGCAGACUAGAGUGCGGUAGGGGAGAUUGGAAUUCCUGGUGUAGCGGUGGAAUGCGCAGAUAUCAGGAGGAACACCAAUGGCGAAGGCAGAUCUCUGGGCCGUAACUGACGCUGAGGAGCGAAAGCAUGGGGAGCGAACAGG
rnacentral:rRNA from 1 species